CAGUAGCCGCGGUAAUGCGUAGGUGGCGAGCGUUGUCCGGAAUUAUUGGGCGUAAAGGGAGCGCAGGCGGACAUAUAAGUCCAUCUUAAAAGUGCGGGGCUCAACCCCGUGAGGGGAUGGAAACUGUAUGCCUUGAGUGCAGGAGAGGAAAGCGGAAUUCCUAGUGUAGCGGUGAAAUGCGUAGAUAUUAGGAAGAACACCAGUGGCGAAGGCGACUCUCUGGUCUGUAACUGACGCUGAGGAGCGAAAGCGUGGGGAGCGAACAGGAUUAGAUACCCGAGUAGUCCCUGUCUCUUAUACC
rnacentral:rRNA from 1 species